UACGGGUGGGGCAAGCGUUGUUCGGAAUUACUGGGCGUAAAGGGCUCGUAGGCGGCCAACUAAGUCAGACGUGAAAUCCCUCGGCUUAACCGGGGAACUGCGUCUGAUACUGGAUGGCUUGAGAUUGGGAGAGGGAUGCGGAAUUCCAGGUGUAGUGGUGAAAUGCGCAGAUAUCAGGAAGAACACCUAUGGCGAAGGCAGCUCUCUGGGACGGUACUGACGCUGAGACGCGAAAGCGUGGGGAGCGAACAGG
rnacentral:rRNA from 1 species